rnacentral:rRNA from 1 species
GUGGGGAAUCUUGCGCAAUGGGCGAAAGCCUGACGCAGCCAUGCCGCGUGAAUGAUGAAGGUCUUAGGAUUGUAAAAUUCUUUCACCGGGGACGAUAAUGACGGUACCCGGAGAAGAAGCUCCGGCUAACUUCGUGCCAGCAGCCGCGGUAAUACGAAGGGGGCUAGCGUUGCUCGGAAUUACUGGGCGUAAAGGGCGCGUAGGCGGACAGCUUAGUCAGAGGUGAAAGCCCAGGGCUCAACCUUGGAAUUGCCUUUGAUACUGGCUGUCUUGAGUUUGGGAGAGGUGAGUGGAACUCCGAGUGUAGAGGUGAAAUUCGUAGAUAUUCGGAAGAACACCAGUGGCGAAGGCGGCUCACUGGCUCGAUACUGACGCUGAGGUGCGAAAGCGUGGGGAGCAAACAGGAUUAGAUACCCCGGUAGUCC